rnacentral:rRNA from 1 species
UACGUAGGGGGCAAGCGUUGUCCGGAUUCAUUGGGCGUAAAGAGCGUGUAGGCGGCCAGGUAGGUCGGUUGUGAAAACUGGAGGCUCAACCUUCAGACGUCGACCGAAACCAUUUGGCUAGAGUCCGGGAGAGGAGAGUGGAAUUCCUGGUGUAGCGGUGAAAUGCGCAGAUAUCAGGAAGAACACCCGUGGCGAAAGCGGCUCUCUGGAACGGUACUGACGCUGAGACGCGAAAGCGUGGGGAGCGAACAGG